UCCACCCACUUCGCUUCCCUUCAUUGAAUGGGGCUCCCAUGUUUCUGUUACAUUAUGUUACGUCGCCUCCAACACGUUCAAAGGAUCGUGGUCGGCAUGCUCUGCCAAAGGAAUCCGGUCCUGCGGAAUAGACAACGUGCACAUUUGCGUGCCAGACUGAUCCCCUGGUCAUGGAUGGACGCAGAGACCUACCAGAAAGAGCAAAGAAACAUGUAUGGAGGUUUGCAAGAUGAUCUGAUUAAAUUCAGACUGACAGAUGGGCUUGAUACUGAUGUCUGUGAAUGGAGAGAGACUUGGCACUCGGUAUUAACAUUUUACUAGACAACUUUUACUUGUAUUGCCUUGCAUUAUUGAAUUGAAUGGUAUCAGUUAAUAUGGGGAGGGAGAAACCCUGUGUAUUCUGCACCAGGAUCAGGGAACUCUUGUUGUAUAUGGGACACCACACAGGAAGUUAUGACCACUCUGACAUGUUUGCCAAGGCAGCCCCAUUACCACCAGACAAAAUGCUGAUUGACAAAGUAUCUGUAUUACAAUGACAAGAAAUAUGAAAGGUGCACAUUGUUAUAUUAACAGAACACUGCUUCUAUGGCAUUAUGUAAGGGGUUGGUUAUUCUACAUGGACUUGCUACUACAUUUGAAAGUUAUCAAAACACUUUUUUUUUUAUAUAUCUACAUAAAUUCA